AUUGAACGCUGGCGGCAGGCCUAACACAUGCAAGUCGGGCGAGCGGAGGACGGGUGAGAAAUGUAUGGGGACUGCCUGAUGGGGGGGGAUGACCACGGGAAACGGUAGCUAACACCGUAUACUAUGAGAUACCCCAUAUGGGAUUAGCUAGUAGGUAAGGUAACGGCUCACCUAGGCGACGAUCCCUAGCUGGUCUGAGAGGAUGAUCAGCCACACUGGGACUGAGACACGGCCCAGACUCCUACGGAGGCAGCAGUGGGGAAUAUUGCACAAUGGGCGCAAGCCUGAUGCAGCCAUGCCGCGUGUAUGAAGAAGGCCUUAGGGUUGUAAAGUACUUUCAGUCGGGAGGCGUUACCGACAGAAGAAGCACCGGCUAACUCCGUGCCAGCAGCCGCGGUAAUAC
rnacentral:rRNA from 1 species